rnacentral:rRNA from 1 species
UACGUAGGCAGCAAGCGUUGUUCGGAGUUACUGGGCGUAAAGGGUGUGUAGGCGGUUCCUUAGGUUUGCUGUGAAAUCUCCCGGCUUAACCGGGAGGGUGCGGUGAAUACUGAGGGACUAGAGUACGGGAGAGGAAAGUGGAAUUCCUGGUGUAGCGGUGAAAUGCGCAGAUAUCAGGAGGAACACCAAUUGCGAAGGCAGCUCGCUGGGACGUUACUGACGCUGAGACGCGAAAGCGUGGGGAGCAAACAGG